rnacentral:rRNA from 1 species
GGUUAAGCGACUAAGCGUACACGGUGGAUGCCCUGGCAGUCAGAGGCGAUGAAGGGCGUGCUAAUCUGCGAUAAGCGCCGGUAAGGUGAUAUGAACCGUUAUAACCGGCGAUACCCGAAUGGGGAAACCCAGUGUGAUUCGUCACACUAUCAUUAACUGAAUCCAUAGGUUAAUGAGGCGAACCGGGGGAACUGAAACAUCUAAGUACCCCGAGGAAAAGAAAUCAACCGAGAUUCCCCCAGUAGCGGCGAGCGAACGGGGAGGAGCCCAGAGCCUGAAUCAGCAUGUGUGUUAGUGGAAGCGUCUGGAAAGGCGCGCGAUACAGGGUGACAGCCCCGUACACAAAAGCGCAUGUGUGAGCUCGAUGAGUAGGGCGGGACACGUGGUAUCCUGUCUGAAUAUGGGGGGACCAUCCUCCAAGGCUAAAUACUCCUGACUGACCGAUAGUGAACCAGU